AUGAACGCUUGCGGCGUGCUUAACACCUGCCAGUCGCACGAAGCACUUUAUUUGAUUUCCUUCGGGACUGAUUAUUUUGUGACUGAGUGGCGGACGGGUGAGUAACGCGUGGGUAACCUGCCUUGUACAGGGGGAUAACAGUUGGAAACGGCUGCUAAUACCGCAUAAGCGCACAGCAUCGCAUGAUGCAGUGUGAAAAACUCCGGUGGUAUAAGAUGGACCCGCGUUGGAUUAGCUAGUUGGUGAGGUAACGGCCCACCAAGGCGACGAUCCAUAGCCGACCUGAGAGGGUGACCGGCCACAUUGGGACUGAGACACGGCCCAAACUCCUACGGGAGGCAGCAGUGGGGAAUAUUGCACAAUGGGCGAAAGCCUGAUGCAGCGACGCCGCGUGAGCGAAGAAGUAUUUCGGUAUGUAAAGCUCUAUCAGCAGGGAAGAUAAUGACGGUACCUGACGAAGAAGCACCGGCUAAAUACGUG
rnacentral:rRNA from 1 species